UGGGUAACCUGCCUGUAAGACAAGGGAUAACUCCGGGAAACCGGGGCUAAUAUCCGGCAUGGUUGUUUGGAACCGCCAUGGUUCAGACAUAAAAGGUGGCUUCGGCUACCACUUACAGAUGGACCCGCGGCGGCAUUAUCUUAGUUGGUGAGGUAACGGCUCACCAAGGGCGACGAUGCGUAGCCGACCUGAGGAGGGGUGAUCGGCCACACUGGGACUGAGGACACGGCCCAGACUCCUACGGGAGGCAGCAGUAGGGAAUCUUCCGCAAUGGACGAAAGUCUGACGGAGGCAACGCCGCGUGAGUGAUGAAGGUUUUCGGAUCGUAAAGCUCUGUUGUUAGGGAAGAACAAGUGCCGUUCAAAUAGGGCGGCACCUUGACGGUACCUAACCAGAAAGCCACGGCUAACUACGUGCCAGCAGCCGCGGUAAUACGUAGGUGGCAAGCGUUGUCCGGAAUUAUUGGGCGUAAAGGGCUCGCAGGCGGUUUCUUAAGUCUGAUGUGAAAGCCCCCGGCUCAACCGGGGAGGGUCAUUGGAAACUGGGGAACUUGAGUGCAGAAGAGGAGAGUGGAAUUCCACGUGUAGCGGUGAAAUGCGUAGAGAUGUGGAGGAACACCAGUGGCGAAGGCGACUCUCUGGUCUGUAACUGACGCUGAGGAGCGAAAGCGUGGGGAGCGAACAGGAUUAGAUACCCUGGUAGUCCACGCCGUAAACGAUGAGUGCUAAGUGUUAGGGGGUUUCCGCCCCUUAGUGCUGCAGCUAACGCAUUAAGCACUCCGCCUGGGGAGUACGGUCGCAAGACUGAAACUCAAAGGGAAUUGACGGGGGCCCGCACAAGCGGUGGAGCAUGUGGUUUAAUUUCGAAGCAACGCGAAGAACCUUACCAGGUCUUGACAUCCUCUGACAAUCCUAGAGAUAGGACGUCCCCUUCGGGGGCCAGAGUGACAGGUGGUGCAUGGUUGUCGUCAGCUCGUGUCGUGAGAUGUUGGUUUAAGUUCCCCGCCACCGAAGCCGCAACCCCCUUGAUCUUAGUUGCCAGCCAUUUCAGUUGGGCCACUCCUAAGGUGACUGCCGGUGACUAACCGUAGGAAGGUGGGGAUGACGUCAAAUUCAUCAUGCCCCUUAUGACCUGGGCUUAAACACGUGCUUA
rnacentral:rRNA from 1 species